CGCUCAUGAGCCCUUGAAGAUAGCAGACAUACAGGGGUACUGACGGCAGGUGAAUUAGACAGUUACUUUGGUCAGCAUAAUACGGGAGAUUAUUGAAAUUUCCUUUCCAACUAUUGCAGUUUUCUGCAGACCUCGUUCAGAUUGUGUGUGUAGUGGAUGUCCCUUUUGUCCUUCUGAGGUAGUGAAGCUUCAGUGCAGGAUUGAAAUGUUAGAGGUAUCACACUCAACUGGCUGUGGAGGAGCAAUUUUGGGUGGUAGGAGUAGUAGAAGCCUCAACAGAUACUGGGGAAUAGAUACCCAAAAAGUACACUGCAACCAUUUCAGGGCUCAACCAUUCUUUCAGUAAGCUCUGCAUAAAUGGCACUGAACUCUGC